rnacentral:rRNA from 1 species
GACGAACGCUGGCGGUGUGCUUCACACAUGCAAGUCGAACGAGGUAGCAAUACCUAGUGGCGGACGGGUGAGUAACGCGUGGGAAUCUGCCUUUAGAUGGGGGGAUAACGGGUCGAAAGACUCGCUAAUACCGCAUAUGACGAAAGUUGAAAGGAGUAAUCCGUCUAAAGAUGAGCCCGCGUCCGAUUAGCUAGUUGGUAGAGUAAAAGCCUACCAAGGCGACGAUCGGUAGCUGGUCUGAGAGGAGUGAUCAGCCACAAUGGGACUAGAAGACACGGCCCAUACUCCUACGGGAGGCAGCAGUGGGAAUUUUACGCAAUGGGCGAAAGCCUGACGUAGCGACACCGCGUGAGCGAAGAAG